rnacentral:rRNA from 1 species
CCUACGGGGGGCAGCAGUAGGGAAUAUUCCACAAUGAGCGAAAGCUUGAUGGAGCGACACAGCGUGCACGAUGAAGGCCCUCGGGUUGUAAAGUGCUGUUGCAAGGGAAGAACACUUAGUUGAGGAAAUGCAACUAAGCUGACGGUACCUUGUUAGAAAGCGAUGGCUAACUAUGUGCCAGCAGCCGCGGUAAUACAUAGGUCGCAAGCGUUAUCCGGAAUUAUUGGGCGUAAAGCGUUCGUAGGCUGUUUAUUAAGUCUGGAGUCAAAUCCCAGGGCUCAACCCUGGCUCGCUUUGGAUACUGGUAAACUAGAGUUGGAUAGAGGUAAGCGGAAUUCCAUGUGAAGCGGUGAAAUGCGUAGAUAUAUGGAAGAACACCAAAGGCGAAGGCAGCUUACUGGGUCUAUACUGACGCUGAGGAACGAAAGCGUGGGGAGCAAACAGGAUUAGAUACCCUAGUAGUC